rnacentral:rRNA from 1 species
UGCCAGCCGCCGCGGUUAUACGGAGGGUGCAAGCGUUGUUCGGAAUUACUGGGCGUAAAGCGCGCGUAGGCGGCUAUUUAAGUCAGAUGUGAAAGUCCACGGCUCAACCGUGGAAGUGCAUUUGAAACUGGAUGGCUUGAGUACUGGAGGGGGUGGUGGAAUUCCCGGUGUAGAGGUGAAAUUCGUAGAUAUCGGGAGGAAUACCGGUGGCGAAGGCGAUCUACUGGAACAUUAUUGACGCUGAUGCACGAAAGCGUGGGGAGCGAACAGGAUUAGAUA